GCCGCCGUCGACGCUCUGCUUAUCUACUCACCGCAGCUGUGAUUUUCUUCCCGAGUUAUUGCUGUUCAUCCACCUCUGCUGCUGAUUCAAGAAUGAAAAGUUCUUCUUUCUCUUAGCUUCUGGUUCGCGUGGGUAUAAAAGAUCUGGUUUUUCUUCACUGUUCAUCAUCGUCCUCCUUCCUCUGUCCGUGCGUGUUGAUUCAUUUGAGGGUGUGUGGAAGAACAAGACCCUGAAAAGACUUAAAAGAAGAAUACUUUCGAGAAUUUAGAACUUCAACAGAUUGGUUAGCUGACGCUGAUUCCACUAACGACCUCAAAAAGGGCAACUAGCUACAGUGGGUGGAUCUUUUUUGAUUGGUACUGCUACUUUAAUGUAAAUAUAUAAUUUGUAUGUCUUUUAGAAUUGAAAGAAAGAGUAGAUGCUCCACAUAGGUUGUUGAUGAA